rnacentral:lncRNA from 1 species
CUUUUUCAUCCACUUUCUGGCCUCCUCUUAUAUGUGCUUGGGCCAAUUGGCCCUUAAUGGGUGGGGGCUCUUGAAUUGCUUCUUCAUCUAAUGUAGAUGCAUCGGGGUCAAGCCUAGACUCGACCUCUUGGGGAUACUUUUUGAUAUGAAAUUCUAGCAAGUCAGACACCUCGAGCUCUCCAAGAGGCUGGAAAGAACGUUUCUUCUUCGUAAGCCCUUAAGACCUCGACCACCUUUUUUGCCCGAACUGGGACUUCCCCGAUAAGGACAGAUUCAACAAGGGUCAGGCACACUUCAAGGUUUUAGAGAGAGAUAUGUUGAAGCUAUUAAAUUAGGACCCUCUUGCAGCAAAAAUUGAUUAUCUAAUGCCCAAAUUUGAGAUCGAGCUAAUGCCUUGGCUUUUUUACUUUUUGCAGAAUUAGAAUUUGUCUUUUGAUCCAUCUAAACUCAUUGCAAAUGUCCACCAUAAGGCCAAAGGCUCGAGGUCGAAGGCUCUCACUCGGUCAAAAGAGAAGAAGAGGGUAAAGGAGGUUGCACCUAAGAAUGUCGUGAGUGGGAUGGGGUAAACCUUGAGGACAGAAACUCGAUCCCUCCACCACGACCUAUUCCAAGAUCGUAAGUUCGAGCUCUCACUCUUCGAGGUACUCCCAAGAUCGUUGACUUGGAUGACAACUUCAUUCCUUAGAGCUCGAUGGAAUAAUAUGCUGAAUGAUUGCUGAUCUCGAGCAUUGUGAAAAAUAUGCUGACGAAGUCGAUCAUAAUAAAGGGGUUAAGACCCUCGAGCUUCUGGCCUUAAAGGUAUGAUCUCGAUCUUACUGUAAUUAUUCAAUCUUUCAUGGUCGAUUUGACAUUGUUCUUGUUUUUCCCCUUUCAGACUUUGAGUGUUGCUCAGGGCUUAGCCCUGAAAAGGGAUAAAUACUUCUCGCAAACUGCACGAGCUUGAUGUGCAGAAUGAGAGAGAGUUUACGAGCUGGAGCUGGAGAGUGACUUGGCUAGGAUUGAGGCUAGAAAGGCUCAAGAUGAGGCCAAAGAGGCCAAACUCGAGCUCAUGCACACUAAGAAGGGCUUUGAGGAUGGUUAAGGCUCGAGCUCAGGCGGUGGAAGACUUCAAGAAGUCAAAAGAGUUCGGGAGGCUGCUAGGGCAAUAUAGGUCAGGCUCAUACCAUUAUGGCCUGAGGCUUGCUCCCCGUUUUUAUAGACCAAGCUCCCUGAAGACUUGAAGCCCAUCAUUGAGAAGCUUAAGUCGAUCAACGAGCUCACGAAUGAGCUCGAGCUUUCUAUGUCAAAGCUCGAGGAUGAAGACAAUGAGGAUGCUAGGACUCCUAAUCAGGGCGAUCUUGCGAAUGCCGCCUACUUUGAUUAGGCCCUUAUUCCGAAUGUUCUUUUAUUUUGAUGAAAAUGUAACAAGUACAUUGCCCAAUCUGGACCUAUUUUUUUGAGAAAUGCUAGUUUACAGUUUGAUGUUUAGUCCAUGAGUUUAUUACUUGUUAGGUUUAUGCUUUUUUUGUACAGACACAUUGAGCUUGAGCGUUGGUGCCUAUGAUGAGAAUGAAUAGCUUGAGCUUCUGUAAAGUUGUAAACUUUUAAAGGUAUAGCUCGAAUGUGCUAUGUGGCCAUUGUUUUUGACAAGUAGCUUGAGAAUUGUAAAAACUGAAAUUUUAAAGUUAUAGCUUGAGCAUGCUACUUUGUCA